rnacentral:rRNA from 1 species
AGAGUUUGAUCAUGGCUCAGAAUCAACGCUGGCGGCGCGCCUAACACAUGCAAGUCGAACGAGAAAGGGGAGCAAUCCCUGAGUACAGUGGCGUACGGGUGAGUAACACGUGGAUGAUCUACCUUCUGGUGAGGAAUAACCCUGGGAAACCGGGGCUAAUACCGCAUAAGCCCGAGAGGGGAAAGUCGCAAGACGCCGGAAGAGGAGUCCGCGGCCGAUUAGCUAGUUGGCAGGGUAAAAGCCUACCAAGGCGAAGAUCGGUAGCCGGCCUGAGAGGGCACACGGCCACACCGGCACUGAAACACGGGCCAGACUCCUACGGGAGGCAGCAGUGGGGAAUCUUGCACAAUGGGGGAAACCCUGAUGCAGCGACGCCGCGUGAGCGAUGAAGCCCUUCGGGGUGUAAAGCUCUUUCGGCAGGGAAGAUGAUGACGGUACCUGCAGAAGCAGCUGCGGCUAACUACGUGCCAGCAGCCGCGGUAAUACGUAGGCAGCAAGCGUUGUUCGGAGUUACUGGGCGUAAAGGGUGUGUAGGCGGUUGUUUAAGUUUGGUGUGAAAUCUCCCGGCUCAACUGGGAGGGUGCGCCGAAUACUGAAUGACUCGAGUGCGGGAGAGGAGAGUGGAAUUCCUGGUGUAGCGGUGAAAUGCGUAGAUAUCAGGAGGAACACCGGUGGUGUAGACGGCUCUCUGGACCGUAACUGACGCUGAGACACGAAAGCGUGGGUAGCAAACAGGAUUAGAUACCCUGGUAGUCCACGCCCUAAACGAUGCAUAUUUGGUGUGGGCAGUUCAGUCUGUCCGUGCCGGAGCUAACGCGUUAAAUAUGCCGCCUGGGGAGUACAGUCGCAAGGCUGAAACUCAAAGGAAUUGACGGGGCCCGCACAAGCGGUGGAGCAUGUGUCCAUUCGACGCAACGCGAGACCUUACCUGGGCUUCGAACGGCUGUCAACGAGUU